AAAAACAUUUUUCAGCGUUUUAUUAGUAGUCCUCGUCUCUAGGUCUGUAAACACAAGAAGUCGGCUCAUCAGCUGAGUCAAAAGCCAAUAAAGCGUGAUUCCGAUGUUUAAAAAAUGGCACAAAUUUAGGUAAAAAUUCCUCUGAACAGGUUUCUGAUUGGUUCAUACCAGCUGUUUACAAUCGCCACCACCUUACUAUGUACACUAUGGCGCUAUAAGGCGUCUGUCGUGAGGCGUUUUGGAUAAAAGCAGCUGCCAAAUGAGUGAAUGUAAAUUUGCCUCGGUUGUACAUUAAUUCCACAAGUAGAAAAAAAAAACAGAUCAGUUAGCAUUUGCUAAUAUGUUAACAAAGAAAAGUGACUAAGGACUUUCUCCUGCUGUUAGCUUUAGACUUUUGCUAAUCUCUUCUGCUAGUCACAUGUUCUCCUGCCAUUCUUGGUCGUGUCUUGGUCGUGACUGAUUAUCAGGAAAUGAAGGAAAUCAGUUUUAUUUAUUUAUUUAUUUUUUAUAGCACUAAUCAGUUUUGCCUCGCAGCCAACUGCUUAAUAGUUUGGGCCUGUUUGGAAUAGCUUUGCUGCCUAAAAUAAACCAUCACGUGAGCGUACAUUAAUGAGGAUUACGUGGAUGAAUGAAGUAAAGCAUGUCAACGAGGAUGCGGUUAAAAUCUGUAAAAAAAACGAUUUAGUCUGGAUGUUGUAACAGGGUUUCAAAGGAAAAAAUGAGGUGUGCGUGUAAAGUUUUGCAUUCUUCUAUAGAACCUGUUACUACACCCGUGGCGCUUUCCUUUCCCCAUCAUUAUGACGCUCACUGAGUUUUGUUUGACAUUGUUUUUGACUCUAAUCUCUCAAGAGAACAGGUAAAACAGCUUCCUGCUAGUUUUUCUUUUCAUUCCACAUUCCUAAAGCGGCGGCGGCCAGAAUCAAUUCCAAACGUGACUCCUGCUACGCGAGCACGAUUGAAGUGGAAACCUCACGUUUUCUUUUAGAACUAUUCUUACCCUGGCCCUCAGACACACACUAAUUGAGCGGGUCGAUUCGGCAUUCACGUCCAGACCCGAGUGUCGAGGGGGGAUCGAACAAAGGCGCUCAGAGGACAGCUUCAAGAAGAGCUCUUCUCAAAGGCGUGAGGUGUCAGUCACGAACACGAAGAUUACGAAUGUGGAAAGAAGGUAAUUAAUCAUGGUCGUGGUCGCAGUGGACGUGGAUCCUAUCGCAGGAAUAUACCGAGCAUGAGGUGGGAAUACACCCCGGAUGGUACGCCGGUUCAUCACGGGAUGCCAUUCAUACACUCAGUCACGCCUAGGGGCGAUUUAGAGUCGCCAGUUCACGCACCGGCAUGUUUUCGGGAGGUGGGUGGAAAUCCGAGAACCUGACAAGGACACGGGGAGAAUCUGCAAAACUGUACGCUUACAAAAAGAAAAAAAAAACAACAACAACAACAAAAAAAACAAAUAGUAGUUUCUGAUAGAUAACGAUCAUAAUAAAUAAUCAGUGUUUUAUUUCAGAUGGCCUAUUGGUUGUUUUCAUACUUUUAAUCUUGUUAAAUGUACGUUUCAUCGAUUCACGGUAAUACUCACUGCGUUACUGAUCAUGAACAAAACAUAAAUUUCAGCGUCAAUGAACUUUAAAUAAUGUCAACAAUGUAACAAUUCAAUCAUAUUAAAAAAGUUAACCCACGAAACAAUCGCCGUUUGUUGAAACGUUGAUGAAAUUCACCGGAACUCAGUAAUGUUUAUUCAAUCAAUCCAACUACAAAAAAUUUUAAAUAUAAACUAGAUGAAUUUUUUUAUUUUUUUUUAAAAUCGUGUUCCUAAAUGUUGAUCGAUUACUACGCCCUUAGCAACCGCAAACUCAAAAUCAAAAAUCAGUCAACAGUAAAACUAAGCUUUAGUAACGUUUUAGCUUUAGAGCACGUCUGAGCUGCCGCUUUACAGAAUUUUUACUAAAGUUUGCUUGGAUUUGACUAAACUUCACGAUCAGCCGGCGCACGAUCACUCACGCGUACGAUCGAAUACGACCACCAGCGGCCAUCUGUGAAAUUAAAGCUGAACCCCAUGUUCCGUGUAGUGCCGACCGGUUCUGUUAAAGCGUGGUCCAGUUAAAACUGCUGAAUAGUCGAGCACUAUUUGGCGUAAAGCUUCACUUUAAUUUACAUUGUGUUUCGUCACAGAAAUCUUUUUUCUUUUUUAUUUAUUUAUUUAUUUAUUUAUUUAUUUAUUUAUUUAAUUGCUGUUGCUUUUUUUAUUUAAGCAACUGCACUCACACACUCAAACCUGCAACUGUCACUGGGGGGGAAACCGAUCUAAAACAUAUUAACUAAAACAUAUUAUUAAAAAGUGCAAAAUUAGACAAAGAGGCUUAAAUAUCCGACACAUCAGAUAUUUAUAAACAUAAGAAUAACAGCAACUCACCGUUUUUAGCAGGAAACGCUUUAAAUGUCAGAGUAUUCCGAGUAAAAACAUCGGUCUGCCCGAGAAUGCAAAGUGUCGUGCUUUUAUCACCUAUCCGAUCCUAUAAAAAAAAAAAUCCCUGGGUGUGUUCCUCACCUGCUCUGUGAUCCUGAGGCAGGAGGGUGGUGCUAACGGUGGUGAGUUUAUUUUUGUUGUAUAGGGGCUUGUGUCGUUUCAGAGAUAUCAGCACGGACAGUAAGUGAAGCGGGCUAAAAAUGGUUUAUUAUAAAAGCGAUACUGGAAGAAAAAAAAAGAAGUUGUGAUUAGUCAGUAGUGCAGCUUUAAGGCACGGGUUUGUAUUAAUGCACUUGUUCUAACAGAACAGCUCAUCCACAGGUCCUUCACGAGUACUUGAUGCUCCACAUGAACUUUGCUGAUAUGGAGAAGUUUUCUGUAAGGAGAUGUGUAUGCAACAUUGAUUCAUUUCUGGAGUCUCCAGUGUCAGAGCUGUACAACGGUCAGAAGUAAAGCUGUAACUUUUCCAACAUCUUCAUAUCUGUUACGUGUCGAGACUACGGACAGGAAGUAAGUGCAGGAUCGAAGUCUUUAUUGGCAACGACAGUCAGCGUACAAGAAAACGGGAACCAAGGUCUAAACGAGAACUCGAACUGAGGCAUGGAACAUGAAACUUAGAACAAGACUUGGAACCACUACCGCUUAUCACAAUUACCCCCUUAAACGAAUACUCAUCUGUCGCUUAACUAUGGCACGAAACAAGAAACGAGACAUGGCAAUCAUUUAACUAGCACUAUGGCCUGAAACAUGAAACCAGAGCAUAACAUGGAAACAUUACCACAUGGAAACAUUACCCCAAUCCGUACAUAAUACUGCGCCAAGUGCGCAGCAACGCGAGGGGUUUAAAUAACAGCUGUGACUACCUUGAGCGCUGACAGCUGGUACCAAUCGUUACACUCCCUCGAAAACCAACAAUGACUGAACAGCGUGGAAACCAAACAGAAACACACGCACAUGUUCUUCGUAAACAAAGUCUCUAUGUAACGCGCGAGCAUGUGCUCGCUCUGGUUCGUGCACGCGCGCUCUCCGGCUCUCCGUGCACGUCGUCGCCGCAGCGCCAUCUGCCGGCGAGAGCGUGACAAUAUCGGAGAGAGACAUGAGAGAGACAGAGAGACAGAGAGAGAGACAGAGAGAGAGAGAGAGAGAGAGAGAGAAAUCAAGAGGGAAAAAGGGAGAAAGUAAGAGAGAGAGAGAAAGAGAAAGAGGGAUAUAGAAAGAAAGAGAGAGAACGAAAGAGAGAGGGAAAGAGAGAGAGAGAAAGAAAGAGAGAGAGAAAGAGAGAGAAAUCAAGAGGGAAAAAAGGAGAAAGUAAGAGAGAGAGAGAAAGAGAGAGAGGGAAAUAGAAAGAAAGAGAGAGAGAACGAAAGAGAGAGGGAAAGAGAGAGAGAAAGAAAGAGAGAAAGAAAGAGAGAGAGAGAAAUCAAGAGGGAAAAAAGGAGAAAGUAAGAGAGAGAGAGAGAAAGACAGAGGGAAAGAGAGAGAAAGAAAGAGAGAGAGA